UGACGAGUUUGAUCCUGGCUCAGAUUGAACGCUGGCGGAAUGCUUUACACAUGCAAGUCGAACGGUAGAGGGGGCAACCCCUUGAGAGUGGCGAACGGGUGAGUAAUAUAUCGGAACGUGCCCAGUCGUGGGGGAUAACGUAGCGAAAGUUACGCUAAUACCGCAUACGAUCUACGGAUGAAAGCGGGGGACUCGCAAGAGCCUCGCGCGAUUGGAGCGGCCGAUAUCAGAUUAGGUUGUUGGUGAGGUAAAAGCUCACCAAGCCGACGAUCUGUAGCUGGUUUGAGAGAACGACCAGCCACACUGGGACUGAGACACGGCCCAGACUCCGUACGGGAGGCAGCAGUGGGGAAUUUUGGACAAUGGGCG
rnacentral:rRNA from 1 species